UGUCAAGUAUAAAUAAACCCCCUUUAUGUCUCCUUUCCUCUCCUCUGUCCUGUUUUUGCUAUCAAGUUUUUAAAUUUCUGGGUUUUGUUUUGUGUGUCUUCUUUCUUUCUUUUUUUUUUAGGUUCAAGAAACAAGAAAUGGAACGUGUUGAAGGCGCUUUGAAGACCAGUUUUAGAAAAGAAAUGGCCGUGAAAUUGAGCCCACAAGUGCUAGAUGAUUUUUGGCCAGUUAAUGUUACGAACGGCAUGUCCUCCGAUGAUUUUUCUGUUGACGAACUCUUAGACUUUUCUAAUGAAAACGGCUUCAUUGAAGAUGAAGAAAAACCUUGUGUUGUCUCUGUUUCUCAUAAACAAGAAACCCUCAAAGAAGACAAAAAUAACGACAGGAGUCCUUAUUUUGCUGUCAAAGAAGACUUUGUUUCUGGUCCUACAAGUGAACUUUGUGUGCCGACGGAUGAUUUAGCAAGUCUUGAAUGGUUGUCACAUUUUGUGGAGGAUUCCAACUCGGAAUAUGCUGCACCGUUUCCGGCAAUUGUUUCGCCGCCGGAGCCGGAAAAGGAGAAUUUUGCUGAACAGGAGAAGUCGGUCCUAACAGAGCCUUGUUUCAAGACCCCGGUUCCGGCCAAGGCUAGAAGCAAGAGAACAAGAACUGGUGUCAGAGUCUGGCCACUUGGGUCUCCUACUUUAACAGAAUCAUCUACAAGUUCUUCCUCUUCAACAUCCUCUUCAAGCCCUUCAAGUCCUUGGUUAAUUCACACCAAACCCCUUUUGAAUGCUGAACCGCUUUGGUUUGAGAAACCGGUAGUUAAGAGGAUGAAGAAAAAACCAUCUUUUCAGGCGGCGGCAAGCGGUGGUGGUGGUUCCCACUCGUCAAGGAGGUGUAGCCAUUGUGGGAUUCAAAAGACGCCACAAUGGAGAGCCGGUCCAAAUGGUUCCAAAACCCUUUGUAAUGCUUGUGGGGUUCGAUACAAGUCCGGUCGGUUACUGCCCGAGUACAGACCGGCUUGCAGCCCAACUUUUUCGAAGGAGUUGCACUCGAAUCAUCAUCGCAAGGUGCUUGAAAUGCGAAGGAAAAAGGAGAUUUUGGGCCAGACCGAACCAGGUCUGGUUCAACCCGUGGCUCCGAGUUGUGGAUAGUCUAGAGAAAGACCGGGUAUCUGGGGAAGAGAGGAUAGGGUAUUGAACCGGGAGAAUUGAACCCGGUUUCUAAUUAGGUUCGGUUUUACUAGUGCACAUUUUUUCUUCUCAGGGUGGUUGAGUUCACCUAAUGAUGGGAGUUCUAUGUAUAUAUAUUUUUUAUUCAUUCGUUUAAGGUCACGCCGGAUAUUUUCCGUCUGCAAGGAAGAUAGUCUUCAUGAGGGAGGGGGGUGGAAAGUGGAAACCGUUCACUUAAAUAUUUUUCUUCUGAUGGCCGGUGGAAAGCAAGAACAGCAUGAAGCAAGAUGGUGGUGUCCCAUGUCCAGUGAAUAGGGAAAAUGUAAAAUAUAUGUAUAUAUAUAUAUAGCGUGAGAUAUACGCAGUUAGUGAAAUCCUUGUCCUUGAGAAGGGGAAUCUGCGGGUUCAGAUAUAUUCUUGAGAGAGUAAGUAUUAUUUGUCAGCUUUGAUGCAUAUUUUUUCUUUCCCAUGUACUUUAUAUAUGCAUUUUGAUGCUGCUGUUAUGGACCACACCUUGUUUGUAAAAAUGGGGCAUUUGGCCCAAGGCAUAAAGGCUGAGGUCGGGCAUUUAAAGUUUUAAA